rnacentral:lncRNA from 1 species
AUGUAUGUGAAUUCAAAUAAAUGGCUGUUUCCUGUUUUCUUUAUUCUUGUCUGUUGUGUGUUACAGACAUGUGACAGCUCUCCUCCUUCUGGAAAUUUCCUCUCACUUACAGUGAGCGUGCUGGGAGUUGGUUUCUGUCUUUGGUUAUCUAGCUGUAUGAGUACAUUCACAUGUCAUAAAGCUAGAUAACCGAAAGUAGAACUGAUUCUACAAAUCUGCUUACUCUUGGUGGGUUCUGGUGGAGAAUCUGGAGCAUCCUUCUUCAAAGCUGCUGGUGCUGAAGAAACCAGACACCUCUAGACAGAGUGCUCUGGCUGUCCGCAACAUGGCGUAAUGAAGUAACAUGACAGGAGCACAGGCAGCAUGCUGUAGAGAUGGAGGGAGAGAACAGAGGGGCACAGGCAGGGAAGAUGCCUUCGUCUGUGACCGCCGUCCUUCUCCUCAUGCCUGGAAAGCCCUGGUGCCAUCUGCGGCCCUCUGGGGGACUGGGGAAGCCGUGCCCAUGCCACUGGCGACAAAGCACCCUGUCAGCUCCCUGGAGCCAGGCACAUCGAGGGAGGGAGGGAGGCCAUCUUGAGGGAAAUCUCAGUGAAACAGCUAAGAUGGCUGGACUGGCACACAAGACAAGGCUGAUCAACUAAUCAUACACUCCGGACACACUCCUGUACACCUGCAGCAGAAAAGACUGGAAGACGUUUGAGAGAUGUCUGCUCUGCAAAGAAGACAUAUAUUCUUAAAGAGUAGAUUUUUUCAUAUUGUGUGAUCUCUCAUUUGGGAGCUGUUUUGGUUCUUAAAAAUUGUCAUUGUUUUGCCUUGCCUGUAGCACAAAUAAAUGUUGUAAAUGGGAGAUUUACUGUUAUACU